GGGUGUUCCCCUUCCUCCAUCAUCGCUCCAUGUGUGACCCUCCCAAAGACAUGCCCUCAGUCGAGGAGGAUCGCCUUCCCUAAGUAGAGGUGACUGGUCUUUGGGUGAGGGUAUAUGAGUAGCUGUGCUCCCCUGAUUGAACCUCCAGACAAGCUCUGAAUCUGUUCAGGUAUUUCCUCUAUCCUAUCAUAUUUUCAUAACCAAAAAAAUUCUCCUCCUGGAAGCUAAGCACAAAAGAAGAUUCUCCAACCUAGUCCAACUUGUACCCCCCAAGUUAAAAUU
rnacentral:sRNA from 1 species